UCAUUGGGGUGGGAUAAAAUGCAGUCGAGCGCCUCCAAGCUAUGGUGAAGGCGCGGCAAACGGCUCAGUAACACGUGGCUAACCUACCCUUAGGACGGAGACACCCCCGGGAAACUGGGGCUAAUCCCCGAUAGGUAAGGACUCCUGGAAUGGAUCCUUGCUGAAAAGACGUCGAGUCCAUGCUAUUCAGCGUCGCCUAAGGAUGGGGCCGCGGCCGAUCAGGUUGUUGGCGAGGCAACGGCUCACCAAGCCUAUAACCGGUACGGGCCGUGAGAGCGGAAGCCCGGAGAUGGGAACUGAGACAAGGUCCCAGGCCCUACGGGGCGCAGCAGUUGCGAAACCUCCGCAAUGCGCGAAAGCGUGACGGGGCUACCCCGAGUGCCGCCCGUUGAGGGCGGCUUUUCCAUGGUGUAAGGAGCCGUGGGAAUAAGGAGAGGGCAAGCCUGGUGUCAGCCGCCGCGGUAAUACCAGCUCUCCGAGUGGUGAGGACAAUUAUUGGGCUUAAAGCGUUCGUAGCCGGCUUAACAAGUCUCCUGUUAAAUUCAGCGACCUAAUCGUUGAGCCGCGGGAGAUACUACUAGGCUAGGAGGCGGGAGAGGUCGACGGUAUUCUCGGGGUAGGGGUGAAAUCCUAUAAUCCCGGGAGGACCACCAGUGGCGAAGGCUGUCGGCUAGCACGCGCUCGACGGUGAGGGACGAAAGCUGGGGGAGCAAACCGGAUUAGAUACCCGGGUAGUCCCAGCUGUAAACGAUGCGGGCUAGGUGUUGGGGUGGCUACGAGCCACUUCAGUGCCGCAGGGAAGCCGUUAAGCCCGCCGCCUGGGGAGUACGGCCGCAAGGCUGAAACUUAAAGGAAUUGGCGGGGGAGCACCACAAGGGGUGAAGCCUGCGGUUCAAUUGGAGUCAACGCCGGG
rnacentral:rRNA from 1 species